GAGCCCUUCACGAGCAGGUGCUGGCCUUUCCCGAAGGAAGAGACUCAAGCAGCAGGAUCUCAUCGCCGGCCUUGAAGACUGGACCUGCCACGAGCCCUGGAGCCCGAGCGGCACUCGGAAGCCGUCGCCGUCAAGGUUCAGGCCUUGGGGUCUUUUGACACUCACCAUGAUGAGCUAUAUCACCAGUCACCUGGUCAAGAGCAUUCAUUGAGCACCUUCUGUGAACUUGGCCCUCUGGAGUCUCCAUAAAGGAAAAAAUAGAGGUAUUACUCUAGCCAGAGGGAGAAGGAGCCAGCUUCCAGCUUCUGUCAAGCAAAUGCAAACAUAUGUGGAUUAAAAAAAAAAAAAGGAAAGCUGGUGAAUGGUUAAGCAUCCUUACAAGUCAACUCCUUCGAGUCUAUCAAAGUAGAAUUCAGGUGCCCCUGACUGCCUGGGGAAGUGCCACCUUCCACAUGGAUCCUUACCGAGUUUAUGCCCAGCAAGGGACAAGAGGGAAUCCUCGUGGGAAGGACAAGUGAGUCUCCUUUUCAUGGGUUUCAGGAAAGUGACAUGACUUCUCUGCGUCUUUCACAUCCAUUCCCCAGUCCGCCCUGGUGUUCCACGGGUAAACCCGCUCUUGAGGGGAACAGGGAAGCUGGCUUGUAGCAUUUGUUGAUUUCCGUGGCCACUUUCAAGCUGCCAACAGUUGAAUAACUGCUCCACCAUAUUCCUGAC